rnacentral:rRNA from 1 species
GAUGAACGCUGGCGGCGUGCCUAACACAUGCAAGUCGAGCGAAGCACUUACUUUAGCUUUCUUCGGAAUGACGAAGUUUGUGACUGAGCGGCGGACGGGUGAGUAACGCGUGGGCAACCUGCCCUGUACAGGGGGAUAACAGUUAGAAAUGACUGCUAAUACCGCAUAAGCCCACAGCUUCGCAUGAAGCAGUGGGAAAAACUCCGGUGGUACAGGAUGGGCCCGCGUCGGAUUAGCUAGUUGGUAAGGUAACGGCUUACCAAGGCGACGAUCAGUAGCCGACCUGAGAGGGUGACCGGCCACAUUGGAACUGAGACACGGCCCGGACUCCUACGGGAGGCAGCAGUGGGGAAUAUUGCACCAUGAGGGAAACCCUGAUGCAGCGACGCCGCGUGAGCGAUGAAGUAUUUCGGUAUGUAAAGCUCUAUCAGCAGGGACGAAAGUGACGGUACCUGACUAAGACGCCCCGGCUAACUACGUG